AGAAUCAACGCUGGCGGCGUGCCUAACACAUGCAAGUCGAACGAGAAAGGUGGAGCAAUCCAUGAGUAAAGUGGCGCACGGGUGAGUAACACGUGACUAACCUACCCUUGAGUGGGGGAUAACCUAGGGAAACCUGGGCUAAUACCGCAUAAUACCUUCGGGUCAAAGGAGCAAUUCGCUUAAGGAGGGGGUCGCGGCCGAUUAGUUAGUUGGCGGGGUAAUGGCCCACCAAGACUAUGAUCGGUAU
rnacentral:rRNA from 1 species